rnacentral:rRNA from 1 species
GACGAACGCUGGCGGCGUGCUUAACACAUGCAAGUCGAACGAUGAACCCGGAGCUUGCUCCGGCGGAUUAGUGGCGAACGGGUGAGUAACACGUGAGUAACCUGCCCUUGACUCUGGGAUAAGCGUUGGAAACGACGUCUAAUACCGGAUACGAGCUGGGACCGCAUGGUCACUAGCUGGAAAGAAUUUCGGUCAAGGAUGGACUCGCGGCCUAUCAGUUAGUUGGUGAGGUAACGGCUCACCAAGACGACGACGGGUAGCCGGCCUGAGAGGGUGACCGGCCACACUGGGACUGAGACACGGCCCAGACUCCUACGGGAGGCAGCAGUGGGGAAUAUUGCACAAUGGGCGAAAGCCUGAUGCAGCAACGCCGCGUGAGGGACGACGGCCUUCGGGUUGUAAACCUCUUUUAGCAGGGAAGAAGCGAAAGUGACGGUACCUGCAGAAAAAGCACCGGCUAACUACGUGCCAGCAGCCGCGGUAAUACGUAGGGUGCAAGCGUUGUCCGGAAUUAUUGGGCGUAAAGAGCUCGUAGGCGGUUUGUCGCGUCUGCUGUGAAAACGCGAGGCUCAACCUCGCGCCUGCAGUGGGUACGGGCAAACUAGAGUGCGGUAGGGGAGAUUGGAAUUCCUGGUGUAGCGGUGGAAUGCGCAGAUAUCAGGAGGAACACCGAUGGCGAAGGCAGAUCUCUGGGCCGUAACUGACGCUGAGGAGCGAAAGCAUGGGGAGCGAACAGGAUUAGAUACCCUGGUAGUCCAUGCCGUAAACGUUGGGAACUAGAUGUAGGGACCAUUCCACGGUUUCUGUGUCGCAGCUAACGCAUUAAGUUCCCCGCCUGGGGAGUACGGCCGCAAGGCUAAAACUCAAAGGAAUUGACGGGGGCCCGCACAAGCGGCGGAGCAUGCGGAUUAAUUCGAUGCAACGCG